rnacentral:rRNA from 1 species
GAUGAACGCUGGCGGCGUGCCUAAUACAUGCAAGUCGAGCGAAUGGAUUAAGAGCUUGCUCCUAUGAAGUUAGCGGCGGACGGGUGAGUAACACGUGGGUAACCUGCCCAUAAGACUGGGAUAACUCCGGGAAACCGGGGCUAAUACCGGAUAACAUUUUGAACCGCAUGGUUCGAAAUUGAAAGGCGGCUUCGGCUGUCACUUAUGGAUGGACCCGCGUCGCAUUAGCUAGUUGGUGAGGUAACGGCUCACCAAGGCAACGAUGCAUAGCCGACAUGGGAGGGUGAUCGGCCACACUGGGACGGAGACACGGCCCAGACUCCUACGGGAGGCAGCAGUAGGGAAUCUUCCGCAAUGGACGAAAGUCUGACGGAGCAACGCCGCGUGAGUGAUGAAGGCUUUCGGGUCGUAAAACUCUGUUGUUAGGGAAGAACAAGUGCUAGUUGAAUAAGCUGGCACCUUGACGGUACCUAACCAGAAAGCCACGGCUAACUACGUGCCAGCCGCCGCGGUAA